rnacentral:rRNA from 1 species
UGAGGAACAUGACUUUCGGCGGGGGAUAGCCGGCCCAACGGCCGGGUAAUACCGCGUACGACCUUUUGGGGACAUCCCUGAUUGGUGAAAGCAGCAAUGCGCCGAAAGNGUGUCUCGCGGCCUAUCAGCUAGUUGGUGGGGUAAUGGCUCACCAAGGCAACGGACGGGUAGCUGGUCUGAGAGGAUGGCCAGCCACGAUUGGGACUGAGACACCGGCCCAGACCUCCGUAGGGAGNAGCG